rnacentral:rRNA from 1 species
CCUACGGGUGGCUGCAGUCGAGAAUCAUUCACAAUGGUGGAAACCCUGAUGGUGCGACGCCGCGUGGGGGAAUGAAGGUCUUCGGAUUGUAAACUCCUGUCAUGUGGGAGCAAAUUAAAAAGAUAGUACCACAAGAGGAAGAGACGGCUAACUCUGUGCCAGCAGCCGCGGUAAUACAGCGGUCUCAAGCGUUGUUCGGAAUCACUGGGCGUAAAGCGUGCGUAGGCUGUUUCGUAAGGCGGGUGUGAAAGGCGCGGGCUCAACCCGCGGACGGCAGAUGGUACUGGGAGGCUAGAGUAAUGGGGGGGGAACCGGAAUUCUCGGUGUAGCAGUGAAAUGCGUAGAUAUCGAGAGGAACACUCGUGGCGAAGGCAGGUUCCGGGACAUUAACUGACACUGAGGCACGAAGGCCAGGGGAGCGAAAGGGAUUAGAUACCCUAGUAGUC